CUACGGGGUGCAGCAGGUAGGGAAAUUUUACAAUGCACGAAAGUGUGAUAAAGCGAGCCAGAGUGUUUUUCUUUUAAGAAAAACUUUUAUUUGUUGUAAAAAGACAGAUGAAUAAGGACUGGGAGAGACCGGUGCCAGCCGCCGCGGCAAUACCGGCGGUCCAAGUCGCAGCCACAAUUAUUGGGUCUAAAACAUCCGUAGCUCGUUUAGUAAGUUCUUUGUGAAAUCUUAUCUCUUAAGGGUAAGGCGUGCAAGGAAUACUGCUAGACUAGAGACUGGAAGAAGUAAGAAGUACAGUUGAGGUAGUGGUAAAAUACGUUGAUCUUGACUGGACUAACAACAGCGAAGGCAUCUUACUAGUACAGAUCUGACAGUGAGGGAUGAAGGCUAGGGUCGCAAAACGGAUUAGAUACCCCCGUAGUC
rnacentral:rRNA from 1 species